CUAGUCCUUGCAUUCAUCUUCAAAAUGAAAGUUGGAAAUCUAUCAAAAAUGUAAAUAUUAUUUGAUACUUAAUGAGAUUUGUGGUGAUUAUAAAGGUGUCCAUCCAAAUUAGCAAAAAUAAUUAACAAGUGUUUGAAGUGCACAUAUAUACCUUUUUAACAAUACAUGGCAUGUAGUUUAAUUUCUCCACAUCAAAACAACUCUCCAAAAAAAUAUUAAUUUUUUCCGAUUUAUAUGUGCUUGAUUCGAUGUUCGAUUAUUGACCCCCACCGGGGAACAUAUUCGGUAAGCGAACAACAUUCAUUAAUACAUCUUCCGUGUGGCUUCACUAAAAGAAGAGCCACCACUAAUCAAACACACUCGAAUUUUGGCAAGUUUAAUUGCCGAUCCAGAAGAUCUAAACCUAACUAAUCACAAUUUUAUCAAUCUUACAGAUUUAUUCAAAACAUUAAUUAAACAAGCCUUUUCCAAACAUACUAAAAUAUAAAUGAGUGAGAUACCUUAUUUAUUAAUUAAGCGCUUUCUUCGACCAUUCUUAUCGGCUUCCUGAAGCACUUUCUUCAUUGUUUACUGCAACAACGAACGUGAUUAGAGCUUCAAUACCAGAAAAUUAGAUAGAUCAAGUAUAAAUUUGAUAUCAUCGUUCGAAAAAAUACUUUUUGAUUCAGAGAAAUAAUUAAUUGAAGAUCUGGAAGGAAACUGCUUACAAAUUUGAGAGUGGAAGCGAUAGAAACAAGUAUCAUAACAAUGUAGAGUGUGAGAAUUGAUCUUAAAUCUUUGGAAUCGCCAUUGAUUCAUCCUCAUCUCACACGUAUACGUACAUAUACACACAAGCAGCGGAGAAAACAAUGACUAACUGGGCUUGGGCCUGAACCUGAAUGAAGAUGGAUUGUGCGGGUACAGAUGGCAUUUUAGAGUUACAGCUGUCCUAAUUAAUACGAUGGUAGUUUGACAUUUAUUACUCCUCAGUCCCACAAUACAAGUAUACCUCUCUCCCAAAAUAUUUGUCUCUUUUCAAGAUAAUUUAUCUUUAUCUAUACUAUACUAUAAUAAGCCGUAUAAUUGUAGUCCUAUGUUUUGUUCUUAUUUUUUGGUUUGAUCAUAUUUUUAUAGUCUCGUGAAUCGUCUCUUGCUAUACUAAAACUUAAUAAUAUUGUCAUGUUACAACUCUAUCUCCUUAAGUCCGCGUCCCAGCAGAGGUUAGUUUUACAAACAAAAACAAAUACUACACAAGCCACUGUCAUCAUCGCCCUUUGUCUCUCUCCUCUCGGCGACUUCUGUACUAUACUCCAUAUUCUCCCCAACUCUUUGAUUCUUUCAGCCUCAAUCCCCAACUCUUUCUCAACGAGAUUUUCAAUGGAGUCGACGAUUUAGUCAAUGGCGCCUUCUAUUGCUUUCAUCAGUCUCUCUCUCUCACACACACUCAAACACAAACGCUUUCAACACAGCUUUGCCUAAUUUUAUGUCUAAUUUUCAUUUUCUUGAUUAUAUGUUUAGGGAGGCUUCAACUGUACUCAAAAUUGAGGGCACUGAUAGAGCAGAUGAGCCGAAGAAAGUGAGAUUUUACUUCAUAUUCUCAAUUUUUUUCUACUUUUUACUGCUUUCGAUGUCAAUUAGCUAUACGUAUACGGGCUAGUGUUCUUUUUUUCUGGUUUUUGUUGGGAGUUAUGAGUUCUCAUAGGUGUUUGUUUUGAUUUUUAGGGUGUAGUUUAUUUGCAGAACAGGAUUCAUUCGACUUUUGAUAGACCGUUAACAAUGUAGGAAAAGUACUGUCUGCGCCAUUGUUUUGCUCUUCCGCUAGGAUUCACGCUUCCCCCAAAUGUGAGUUGUUUUGUGAUUUAAGUUGUUAUGGAUUUCAUGCUCUUUUUUUGUAUAUGGUCUUGCUGAUCUGAGUUCAAAUGAAGUUAUUGCUGGAGUAACUUUGAUUCUAUAUUUAAGACAUAUUUUUGGAGUUGUUUAGAAGUUAAUUUGUGGUUCCUUAGAUUUUUUUGGCGUUGGUGGUGGUGAAGGCGGUUUGUAUGAAUAUGAAAGUGGAGCUGCGAUGACAAGAGAUCCCAAGCCAAGGCUGAGGUGGACUAGUGAUCUUCAUGAUCGGUUUGUUCAUGUUGUCACUAAGCUUGGUGGCCCUGACAGUGAGUCUAUUCCUCUGUUUCAUUCAUUUUCUAUAUUACUUCUGUAAGUUCAUUUUUACUGAUUAUUUGAAAUCAGUUGGGUUUUGUCAUUUAUGCGAAGAACUCUGCUAAUUUUUAAAAAUAACAUGACUGAGAACAAGAAAUUUCGUUGAAUUUGUGAUUCAUCAGUGUUUCCCUCAAAUUAAAAUAGCCAUUCCACUUCUAGUGGCUUUUGAAUCUGUGGAUUAAUUAUUGUAUCUCCGUAAUGCAGAAGCAACUCCCAAGUCAAUGCUGAGACUCAUAUGCUUUAAGGGAUUAACAUUGUACCAUUUAAAGAGCCAUUUGCAGGUAUACAUGUUCAUAUGUUUUACACUAUAAUCCUGUUUCCUUCUAUAAAAAUUUGAUGUGACAAGGUCCUGAAAGUUCUUAAUUCCUUCCAUGUGCAGAAAUACAGACUCGGGCAGCAGGCUUCCAGGAAACAGGAUACGGUAGAGCAAAACAUUGAGAACAGUGGUAAGUCUGUACCAUAGUAUAGGGUCUGUACAGCUUGCGGAAAAACAUGAAUGAAUUAUCAAACACCUCCAUUAGAUGAUUAAGAAAUGCAAUUCAGAUAUUCCAGAAGUAAAAUAAGAAAACUUGCAAUAGGUUCUGAUAAUUUUGGUUUGAAUUACCUAUUGUGUUCAGUCGGCUAGAAGUUCCUGUCACAUUACCUCUGCAUGAUCAUUUAUUUUUAAUAUCUUUUAUGGAGCUGGACUUUUCUCAGUUUAAUUUGUAUCUGUUUUAUUUUCUAGGGGAUUCCCAUGGACGUUACAAUAUGCAUUCUAUGUGCACGACUGAGAACACAUCAAAACUGAAUGGCAAAAGAGGGUAUGUGAUCCUAGAACUCAUGUUUUUCAAGUACUAAUAAUAAUAAUAGCCUGAAAAUAGCAUUAAACGCUAUUGCUUAAUAAUCCCUUAAAUCAUAAAUCCUGGUUCCAAAUUCAAUGGCUUUUUACAUCCCCCGUCCCAAUUCUUCAUACCUAAUUAUAAAAAAUGCCAUCCAAAAAAAUUAUUCUGGCCUUGACUGUUGACUAAAAUAUUGAGCUAUCUCACUACGCUUGCUAUUUCCGGCUUUUUCAAUUGAGUUGUGUUUUGGAGCCAUUUGAUAUCACGUGAUGCUGUCUGAUUUCUUCCUACUUCACAUCACUUUCCACCGCAGUGGUUUAGACAGUUUCGGCAAAGAGACAACAAGCUCAUGGCUCCAAAAUCCCCACGAGCUGAAUCUUUUCCUCUUCAAUCCAUUUCUUACAGGUCAGUUUGAAUUUUUGUUCAAUUUGAAUUCAAAACCACAUAUUACAUACAACAUGAAUCUCUUCACAGUGAAACAAACAUUUUACAGGCGAUGAAGGAGGUUCUCUCGACGACCUGCUAUUUUUAUGUUUCUUAUUUAUGCAUUUGUUUACCACUCGGUUUGUAAUGCUGAUUUUGGUUCUGAUAUUUCUUUUGUUUAUUUGUUUUUUGGAUGGAUUUUAGGGGUUUUUCAAUCAUCUCAAACUGGAUAGUUUCCCUGCGUUGAGGGGGGAUUGUUCUGGUGAAUUCAUGGCCUGUGUUUUCUGUUUCGUAAUUAAAUCUGACUCAAUCUUAUUCCGACCUUUUUCAAUUUUGUUGGGAGACUUAGGUUCUAAAUCAAAAAGAAAAAGGACAAAUGUGGAACAAGAUAAAGAAAAUAUCAAACCAACAGAAGAGGGGAGUCCCACCCCUGGUGAGUUCUCUUAAGGCCUGUUUGAUAAAAGUGUUACCCUCAUAGGAGUUUGAUAUUAUCAGUGAGCAUGCAAGCAUUUAUAAAUUAAUGUCACUCAUUUAUGUACCCUCAUUUUGUGUAUUGUAUGUGUUUUUCAUUGUUUUGCUUUUUAAGGUGGUCUCCAGAGCUUAAUCCAUCAUUCCCUCCUAUAUAACAUAUAACAUAUAUUAUUCAAUCCACUUAAUUUUCCACUUAAUUGAGCUACUUCACUGCACUUGCUAUUUCCAGCUUUCAAGUAAGCUGUGUUUUGGAGCCAUUUGAUAUCAUGUGAUGCUGUCUAAUCUCUUUCUACUUCGCGUAGCUUUCCAUCGCAGUGGUUUAGAUAGUUUCGGCAAAGAGACAAAAAGCUCAUGGCUGCAAAAUCUCCAGGAGCUGAAUAUUUUCCUCAACUCAUUUCUUACAUGUCAGUUUGAAUUAUUGUUCAAUUUGAAUUCAAAACCCCAAAUUACAUACAACACAAAUCUUUGCACACUGAAUCAAACAUUAGGAAGGCGAUGAAGGAGGUUGUCAGGAUGAGCUUCAGUUUUUAUGUUUCUUAUUUCUACAUUUGUUUAGUACUCGGUUUGUAAUGAUCGACCUCCGCUGUCAAAUUUGACCAAUCAGAGUUUAAGAGAUUUUAACUUUACACAAUAUAAAAACUUAUCUCCAGAGAUCAUUUAUUAUAUAAUUAAAGAUGUUGGAGCUGUUAUAACUCUUAUUUGUGUUGGGUGCUGCUAUAUUAUUUUACAGAUAUUGAGGUCAAGUAGAUGCUGGUGCCCCGUCUCUCAGAAAGCUCAAAUUUUAACAAGGUUUAUUAGAUAUCAGAAUGCACGACGUUGUCGGCCGGACUGCAUAAGAGAGGUGCAUCUCGCCCUCAAAAAUAUAUAGUAGACAAGGCACUUUUUCAAUUCUUUAGAUAUCUAUUUUUUUUUCUGCUAUUGUAAGAGUAUAUCAGUGUCAAUAUCUACUUAAGUACAUUUGUACUUUACCACACAUACAUCAUUAGAUAAUCUAAUCAAAUCAGAGAGAUACGAUGGUAGGAGGAAAAUGAGAUAAUUAAGAUAUUUUGCAAGAAACUAUUAACAAUUAUUUGCAUAAUGGCAUGAUCUCCCAUUAUCUUACUUAUCUUACAAGCAAUGAACAUUGACGACUUGCUGCUUCCAAAUUUCCUGAGUUCUUUUUGCAAAUAAAAGAAUAUAAAAAAAAGUGAAAUUCUAAAUUUCAGGAGGAUGGUAUUGGAAAUUAUUUAUGGCAAGAGAUCAAAGGGUACAAGUGAAUAGGAGUGUUUUUUCAAUCAUCUCAAACUGGAUAGUUUCCCUGCGUUGAGGGGGGAUUGUUCUGGUGAAUUCAUGGCCUGUGUUUUCUGUUUCGUAAUUAAAUCUGACUCAAUCUUAUUCCGACCUUUUUCAAUUUUGUUGGGAGACUUAGGUUCUAAAUCAAAAAGAAAAAGGACAAAUGUGGAACAAGAUAAAGAAAAUAUCAAACCAACAGAAGAGGGGAGUCCCACCCCUGGUGAGUUCUCUUAAGGCCUGUUUGAUAAAAGUGUUACCCUCAUAGGAGUUUGAUAUUAUCAGUGAGCAUGCAAGCAUUUAUAAAUUAAUGUCACUCAUUUAUGUACCCUCAUUUUGUGUAUUGUAUGUGUUUUUCAUUGUUUUGCUUUUUAAGGUGGUCUCCAGAGCUUAAUCCAUCAUUCCCUCCUAUAUAACAUAUAACAUAUAUUAUUCAAUCCACUUAAUUUUCCACUUAAUUGAGCUACUUCACUGCACUUGCUAUUUCCAGCUUUCAAGUAAGCUGUGUUUUGGAGCCAUUUGAUAUCAUGUGAUGCUGUCUAAUCUCUUUCUACUUCGCGUAGCUUUCCAUCGCAGUGGUUUAGAUAGUUUCGGCAAAGAGACAAAAAGCUCAUGGCUGCAAAAUCUCCAGGAGCUGAAUAUUUUCCUCAACUCAUUUCUUACAUGUCAGUUUGAAUUAUUGUUCAAUUUGAAUUCAAAACCCCAAAUUACAUACAACACAAAUCUUUGCACACUGAAUCAAACAUUAGGAAGGCGAUGAAGGAGGUUGUCAGGAUGAGCUUCAGUUUUUAUGUUUCUUAUUUCUACAUUUGUUUAGUACUCGGUUUGUAAUGAUCGACCUCCGCUGUCAAAUUUGACCAAUCAGAGUUUAAGAGAUUUUAACUUUACACAAUAUAAAAACUUAUCUCCAGAGAUCAUUUAUUAUAUAAUUAAAGAUGUUGGAGCUGUUAUAACUCUUAUUUGUGUUGGGUGCUGCUAUAUUAUUUUACAGAUAUUGAGGUCAAGUAGAUGCUGGUGCCCCGUCUCUCAGAAAGCUCAAAUUUUAACAAGGUUUAUUAGAUAUCAGAAUGCACGACGUUGUCGGCCGGACUGCAUAAGAGAGGUGCAUCUCGCCCUCAAAAAUAUAUAGUAGACAAGGCACUUUUUCAAUUCUUUAGAUAUCUAUUUUUUUUUCUGCUAUUGUAAGAGUAUAUCAGUGUCAAUAUCUACUUAAGUACAUUUGUACUUUACCACACAUACAUCAUUAGAUAAUCUAAUCAAAUCAGAGAGAUACGAUGGUAGGAGGAAAAUGAGAUAAUUAAGAUAUUUUGCAAGAAACUAUUAACAAUUAUUUGCAUAAUGGCAUGAUCUCCCAUUAUCUUACUUAUCUUACAAGCAAUGAACAUUGACGACUUGCUGCUUCCAAAUUUCCUGAGUUCUUUUUGCAAAUAAAAGAAUAUAAAAAAAAGUGAAAUUCUAAAUUUCAGGAGGAUGGUAUUGGAAAUUAUUUAUGGCAAGAGAUCAAAGGGUACAAGUGAAUAGGAGUGUAGUUGUGGACUUGCAUUUUUAUAUUCAGAUUAUAUGUUAAGGCCUACUGGGAAAGGUUGUUCAAAUUUUGGUGAAUGAAUCCGAGUCACUAAUUUAAAUUAGUGGAGUCUUAGGCCAAGUAUUAUGUGUGUCAUUCUAUUCUUCCUCCAAUUUACCCUGUCUAUAAAUAUAAAACAGAUAAUAUGACAAUAAUAUUAGAAUUUUAAAGUUAGGAAGGGAGUUCAAGGAGCACAACUUCUUGACUGGAUGCAUCGUUUACGAAUAGCUAUUGAUGCAGUAAGGGAGUUCAAAUAAGAGCUUCUGUAUUCUUUCCUUUUCAUAUCCAUGAUCUACAUUCGAGUUUGGGUAGUUUAGCUUAUGUAUUCUUUCUUCUUCUUGCCUGGUACUCGCUAAUAUUUAGCGUUUUGCCAAUAUGUGCACCUUUUGAGCAGUUAUGAACUUUGCUAAUUAAUAAGAAAUCACUAUGAAUAUUUUUGUAUGCUGAUUUAGAUUGGCACUUGAAAAUAUAUUCUGUGUUGUUAUAUUUUGUGCAGAGAUUAACUAUUAAUUUCUUUUUGAAGUUCUGUUCCAGUGAGUAAUUGUAUUAGUAAAGAUGUGGGAGCAGAGAAUACAUAGAACUCAAGUUUGCAUUCAAUACCUCAUGAACCAAAGGAUUAACCAUGCAUGUUGAUUUUGAAUUUGUCCAUGGUUAGACUCUCUAAAUAAUUUUGGAAAUUUGUCUAUACAUGAUAUCCUCUCCUCAAAACUUGCACAUCUGGAUCCUCAAUUGGGGUUAUGUAUGUUUUUUAUCUAAAUAACAUCACUUGGCUUAUUUUAAAAAGCUUUUAUCAUACUAAUAUAUGUGGUUACACGAAAUCAUAGAUAGUAGCUGCAUUCCACCUCUUAUAUACGCCUUCAUGGGUAGUUCAAAAGACAUUGCCAUAGGAUAAGUGGCAGUGGUCUCUCUUUUGAUGGGCACAUUGCUACAAAAUGAACUUGAUCCUGAAACAAACAAACUUGAAUUUCAACGCCUUGCACUUACUGCGAUAUUCUUUGCUGGUGUUGCUUAAACUACAUUUCAGGUACAAGAAAAUCUAACAAUAUAAAACAAUGUGAUCACAAAGGCACUAAGAUCUGCCCCCUCAUUGUCUAUAACUAUAUUAUAUGCAAACUAUUUUUUUUGUAUGGAUUGUACAUAUCUGAUGCCCAUACAUAUUAAAGUGUGUGUGAUUUUAGUGAUUUGUGUUUAUAUUCAUGUGUAGAUGUAGAGACACAGGAAUUCUGGAUGAAAGAAAUUGCAAGGUAGACCAGACGUAGAAGCUCUGGUUGAUCAAUUGUCCAGAGUAUGGUACGCGGAGGUUGUGUUGCUUAACACGUGCUGUUUUCAAAUGGACCAAAACAACAGACUUUUGGCAUAGAUUGAUCUCCUGCAAUUGCUUUAUCAGUUCAACAGAUCAAACUCUUCUCUUGCUACGUGUACAUCAAUGGAUGCUGGCAUGCAUUAUUGUAGCCGGAGGGAAUUUGUCGAUUUUGUGGAGGUUUAUCUUAUUCUGUUAACAGACAGAUGAAAAAGAUAGCCAUAGGAAAUGAGGAACUCAUUCUUUCUCUAGGCUAUGACUAUUAUGGUGAUAUGUGGAUGUGCAUAUGUGAUGUCCGGCUAUUUAAUGUCUAGGCUCUGUCUUCCCAGUAAGAUUCAUAUUUUGCUACUGCUGUUUAAUUUGUAGAAACUUAAUGUGAUAUUUCUUGCCAUGGUGUAAUACAUAUUUCAGUCAUGGAUAUUACCUAGGAAUUUAGCUGCAGCUUAUAGAGGGCUCCAGUACUCUGUGGCUCACAGAAAAGUGUAAAAAUGGAGAACAAGUGAAUAUUUGUUAUGUUUCGUGAGAGUGGACCUCAGUUUUCAAAAACAUUUUUGAUUGAGAUGUAAAUAAAAUUAAUAAAAAGGAUAGUAUGUAUCAAUAUUUUGAAUCUGUAAAUUCAAAUUUCAAGUAAAGUUAAAUGAAAAAUGACCAUGUACCCGUCACUUUUUUAAAAAAAAUUAAUUCAAAUUCUAGGUAUAAAUGUUUAUAUCACAUUUUUAAAAUUUUUAAUUUAAAUUUAACGUGAAGUUGAAUAAUAAACGACGGUAUACCUAGAAAUGAUGAAAAGUGUGGCAAAUUAAUAUUUAUUCGGUAUGAGGUUCAUGAUUAAUAAUUAAUAAAUCGAUAAAAGUUGACAAAAAUAAUGUAAGAUUUUCUUUUAUAGUAUAUUGAAGAAAUCAAAAAUUUUAAGUUCAAAUACAAUUCAGAGGAACCUCUCACAAAAAAUGUAAAAAAAAUAGAGAACAACACUUCUUUAUCAAAAUAACAAAAGUGGACAUUUCUUAUGUUUCUCCUAAAAUGAAAUGUUAUUUUUCAUAAGUAUAUUUGAUCGAGAUGUAAAUAAAGCGUAAUAAAAUGAAUAGUAUGGUUAAAAUUAAAAUAUAACAAUAAAAAUGUAUAUCACAUUUUCUUUUGAAUUUUUUAAUUCAAAUUUUAAGUGGGAUUGAAAAAAAUUAUUUAAACAUUCACAUAUGGAAAAAAAAUUAUUGUUUAUACUACUAUUUUAUAAUAUAAUAAAAUUUGUACAAGACAAACUUUCAAAAGUGCAUAAAAACAAUCGAUUAAUAUAAUUUAAUAUAAUUUUAUUUAAUUAAUAGAAAACACUAAUAAAAUAAUACUAAGCUUAUAAAUAAUCAAAUUAAAAUUAUAUAGUCGCCCGUGCUUCGUACGGGUUAUAGGCUAGUAUUAAUUGUGAUUUUUUUAAAAUUUAACAUUAUUCUCAUUUUUCAAUGCACUAAAUAUUUAUAUUUAUUAUGAUUUUUUGGAAACUCAACUCUAUUCUCAUUUAUCAAUGCAAUAAUUAAUAAUACAUGAGAUAAAAUUAUAUCUAAUCAAUAUUUUUCUUAGUAUGCGUGUUUUUUUUUUGCAAAAAGAACAUGUAAAUUAAGACGGGGGGAGUAUUUUUUUAGGAAGAUAUUUUAUGCGAUUCUAAUAAGAUAUUAAUUAUUAUAUAUUAAUAUAAAAAUUUUAUUAUCCCAUUUUUGAUCACUCAAUGAAAUCACAGUACUAUACCACAAAAUUUAUGGAUAUAUGUAAACAAGCAAAUUAGCUAAAAUAUCUUUGUUCUUUUCUUUUUUGAAAAGUUUGAUAUUGCCAAAUACAAAAUUUUACAACAUUAUUUGGUGAGAUUUACUUAGAUUAACAGUUUUGUUGAUUAAAUCACAACACCAAAAUCAUAAUAAAUUAAGGUCAUUUUUGACAAUUUAAAAAACCUUUCAUUUUCUUAAUAUCGGUUAAAACCAACAUUGCCGUGAAUAAAAAUAUUAAAUGAUAAAUAUUUGGUACAGUUAACACAUUAAUAUACAUACGUGCAUAAAUGAAUGUAUAUAUAAAUUUCACUACAAGAUCAUAUCCAUAGUGGCAUCACUCGUUAGCCUGAUAGAUAUCAAUACAAGGACUCACACAUAUUUGAAAAAACAACUUGUAUCUAAGUUGUACUUCUGAGCAGCUUUGGUUGGGCUGAUUUGCCAAGCUACCUUUCGAAACUUCUUGAUUCCGAAGUUAUAUUUUCCUGGGGUAUUCCAUAACAGCAACAUUCCAAAGACUCGAAGACAGAAAAAAUUGCAGACCUUGCAACUGGGAAUCACGGCCUUUAUUAUCUCCGCUGCUGUUAUCGGCCUCUUGAAUUCUUUUUACAGUAUGUCUUACAGUAUUUUUGGGCAACUAAUCAUCGGCAAGAACAAUUUGUGCUCGACAAACACUGAUUUACUGAGAUAUGAUGGUAUCCCUGACACCUGAGAGUUCAAUAUUUAGGAAGUCGGGUAUCAGUUCGAUAAUUAAUACCUUACUAUAGAAUGCGGAACAGACAGUCUUAAUGAUCUAUAAAGACUUAUACCACACAAAAUUGACAGAGCAAAACAUGACCAUUUACAUUACAGUAUGCAGAGUAAAAUAAUCAAAUUUGUGAAAGAAACAAGGUAGUACGAACUAUGAAGCAAUAAUCCAAUUAUUAUGCAAAGAAACCCAUACAUAAUCUUCUAGUGGAAGACUAUCAACUUAACUGAUACAAAAUCUCAUUCUCAAAAGCCGCUUUAUCCGAAAACCAAUGCAAAAUAUUAAUUCACUCAGAAUCUUCCUGUUACAGGACUGAUUAGACAAGAGUACAGAAAUAUGCCUGUGAGAUAGAGGAAGAGAAAGGAAGGGNGAGACUCCAGGACUGAUUAGACAAGACUACAGAAAUAUGCCCGUAAGAGAAAGGAAGGGAAGGAUAGGCUUACUCAUUUAGCUUAAAAACAUCAACUGCUUGGUAAUGCAUAUGAGCCAUCUGGAGUAGCCAUUAACAUAGAUAUUGGGCUACCGGUUGGAGGUUUCACCUUUUCAACACCCUAACUCCAUUUGUAGGAUAAUGGAAGCAUAUUAACAUCCAACAUUAGAGCAAAAAUAAGCAUAAUAGAGCACAGACAAGCAUAAUCCGCAUAUCAAUAUUACAAAUAGGUGAUCUGUUUUUCAUCUUCAUUGCUACAUCAAGUAAAGAUCACCUCCCAUCCUUCAAAUGCAUUAUUAAGCAACAAUAUGGUAAACACCUAAGAGAUUUAAUCCAACCAACCUCAUUAGUCUGUGCAUUGCCGACAACAAAGUCAAAGUCCGUCCUAUUGCCCAUUAAAAUAUUUUGAGUGUCAUAAUCUAUGAAUGCAUUAACAGAUAAGAGAAUAUUAAAAUAUUAAAUUUUGUCCAUUAAGAUAUCACAUUAAAUAAAGUUCAUAGGGAAACCUAUACAUGUAAAUGCAAUGGCAUGCGUAUAUAACUCCAUCGUAGAUCACGUGCGUCAGAGCAAGUUUUAUUUUAAACAAAUUCAUUAUUCAACAAGAUACAAUGCAGUGUUUGUUAGCUUACAUGUUCCCUGAUCCUUUUAUUUACCUAUCCUGAAUCUACAUACUCCAUAAGCAUUUUUCGUAAGUUAUGAAUUAGGCUAAUGACAUUAAAAUAGUCACAGUAUGUAUAGUAGAAAUUGUGUGUUUUAGUAUAUGAUAUUCAAUCAACAAGCUUCCUAAAUUCGUGGAGAACUAGUGAGCAUAAAUUUUCUGUUCUUAUUUAAUAUCCUAACUAGCUAAUUGUUACCGGUAAAAUAUGAACAGAUCUGGAUUUCCUUUACUUAGAUGUUUUGGUAGAUUGAAUAAACUAGUUGAUUUUUAAUGGUUUCUAUAUCUCAUUGGUUCAUGUUAGUUUUUUAAUAUGAGUGUAUUUGUGUUUAUUUUGAUUAAGAUCUUUACAUUUGUUUCUCUAUUUGUAUAUUAAUAAAUAUGUACAUUUGUAUCUCUAUUGUGUUGCCACACAACACAUGCAUUUAUUACUGCUGCCUGUACAAAAUCCAUGUAGUCUUGUAUUAAGAUGAUUACCUGUAUACCAGCAUGGCUACACAAAUAAAAGUCAAACUCAGUGGGAUGGCAGAUGGUCAUAUUUACAACAGUACCUGGUAUACAAAAGCCAGUUAUUUGCUAAUCAGAAUAAUAAAGAUUUUUAAAGAUACAAUAGAACAAUAUGUAACCAGGUGAUAUGUUGCCACUCCGAUCAGUUGAUUUCCUGCCAUUGUAAAUAAUUUGAUUGCAGCGCCUGGCAGACCUUAAAAACAGAUAUAUCUUCCCAUUCAUCAAACUUGAACUAUAGGGGUAACAACUAACAAGUGAAGGUAGUAAUUACUUACAAAAAAUAAAACACAUCAACCGUCCUAAUGGCAUCCAUCUCUUUCAGCAAGACCUGAUUAAACUGACCUUCACUGACUCCAUCCCUGAAGAAAGAGAAACCCAUACGAUAUAUGCAGUGCAAAAUAAGUAAUGAUUAAACACGCUUUAGAUCUUUACAUUUGUUUCUCUAUUUGUAUAUUAAUAAAUAUGUACAUUUGUAUCUCUAUUGUGUUGCCACACAACACAUGCAUUUAUUACUGCUGCCUGUACAAAAUCCAUGUAGUCUUGUAUUAAGAUGAUUACCUGUAUACCAGCAUGGCUACACAAAUAAAAGUCAAACUCAGUGGGAUGGCAGAUGGUCAUAUCUACAACAGUACCUGGUAUACAAAAGCCAGUUAUUUGCUAAUCAGAAUAAUAAAGAUUUUUAAAGAUACAAUAGAACAAUAUGUAACCAGGUGAUAUGUUGCCACUCCGAUCAGUUGAUUUCCUGCCAUUGUAAAUAAUUUGAUUGCAGCGCCUGGCAGACCUUAAAAACAGAUAUAUCUUCCCAUUCAUCAAACUUGAACUAUAGGGGUAACAACUAACAAGUGAAGGUAGUAAUUACUUACAAAAAAUAAAACACAUCAACCGUCCUAAUGGCAUCCAUCUCUUUCAGCAAGACCUGAUUAAACUGACCUUCACUGACUCCAUCCCUGAAGAAAGAGAAACCCAUACGAUAUAUGCAGUGCAAAAUAAGUAAUGAUUAAACACGCUUAAUGUGCCACAGAUCAUGCCUAACCUGUAGAAUAUGAUCCGUUUAGGUCGGAGUUCUGUUUGCUGGUAGAAUGCCAUCAAAUAGUCCCUACAAAAACAAUGAAAGAUUAGAGAACAUAGGUGGUUAAAUUAAUUAUAUAAAACCACAAUUUUUGAACCUGGUCAUGCCACUAGCAACAACACCCCUUUCAGUUUCACAAGUGCAGUAGAGAUUCCUUAAUAUUUCCUCUCACUGACCAUGUGUGUAGAGUUCUUUGUAUGUGGUGACCUCGGGCCAGUCCAUUGAUGCCACUACCUAAAAGGAGAGAAUUAUUUUUAAAGGUACAUAUACAAAUUUUAGGAGGGCAAACUUAAAAAAAUAUACUGCUGCAAAUUAUCUUUGAAACCAACACCAACAAGAACCAUCUCAUUUAUUUAAACAACGAGUAUAAUGAUGUACCUGUCUAGAAUCAUCUACCUAGGUUUAAAAUAUGUGUGCAAUUUAAACUGUGAUUUGUUUUUUUUGAAUCAUAUCCAACAGCGAGUUUAGCAUCAGGACUCUCAUUCCAGAAAUUUCAUUUAGCACAUGCACUUUAUCCAAACAAGACAAAACAUAAAAGAUGGCUACUAACUGUCUUGCACCGCUGGUAGAAUGGUUGGAUAACGUACUGGUAUUAUUUCCUUUUUCUCUCGAGCACUUCUUCAAAUACUUUGGGACUCAAAUAUUCUUGGUGCCCUGAGAACUCUAGUCUCAUCCAUGUUAACUAAUUUAUAGCAAGAAUUUAAUGAGCACGUAGCCCAUGACUAUACUCUCAACAUAUUCACAGUGACUGAGGUUAGAAUAGUAGUCAUUAAAGUACCUCAUGUCAAUAUAUUUCAGAUAUCCAAUUCAGCAAAAACAUACUCUAGACUAUAUAUACAAAUGAUGACAUUCCAACAUCCCAUCAAGACAACAACAUCUAAUUUCCACUAUUUUAUGCAUUUACUCAUACUAAAGACUGGAAUUUAUCUUCAUGAAAUCAAGAACUCUCGGAAAUAUAGUCAGAAUAAUAAAAAGGGAAUCAACAGCAAACAAAAAACCACAGUGACUGUUGCAUGCAACUUCAGGAGUUUUCUCCGGAAAUCCAUGGUUAAACGGAAAAAAAAACCUUAAUAUUAAAUUAACGAAAUACCAUGUAACUAGCUAGUCCUUGCAUUCAUCUUCAAAAUGAAAGUUGGAAAUGUAUCAAAAAUGUAAAUAUUAUUUGAUACUUAAUGAAAUUUGUGGUGAUUAUAAAGGUGUCCAUCCAAAUUAGCAAAAAUAAUUAACAAGUGUUUGAAAUGCACAUAUAUACCUUUUUAACAUACAUGGCAUGUAGUUUAAUUUCUCCACAUCAAAACAACUCUCCAAAAAAAUAUUAAUUUUUUCCGAUUUAUAUGUGCUUGAUUCCAUGUUCGAUUAUUGACCCCCACCGGGGAACAUAUCCGGUAAGCGAACUACAUUCAUUAAUACAUCUUCCGUGUCAGCUUCACUAAAUCGAGCGCCACCGCUAAUCAAACACACUCGAAUUUUGGCAAGUUUAAUUGCCGAUUAAGAAGAUCUAAACCUAACUAAUCACAAUUUUAUCAAUCUUACUGAUUUAUUCAAAACAUUAAUUAAACAAGCCUUUUCUAAACAUACUAAAAUAUAAAUGAGUGAGAUACCACUCGAAUUUUGGCAAGUUUAAUUGCCGAUCAAGAAGAUCUAAACCUAACCAAUCACAAUUUUAUCAAUCUUACAGAUUUAUUCAAAACAUUAAUUAAACAAGCCUUUUCUAAACAUACUAAAAUAUAAAUGAGUG
rnacentral:lncRNA from 1 species